rnacentral:lncRNA from 1 species
AUCGGCUUCAGCAAAUUAAUAUACUUUUGCAAGAAACUAAUAUGUUUGGACUAUUUUUUAUUUUUAAAAUAAUAGCAAACUUUUGAUAUAUUAGUUAAAUAUUAAAUUUAUUUUAGUAGUAUCUAUCCGCUGCAACGCGCGGGUUACUACACUAGUAUACAUUAUUUCUCCUAAAUUUUUGCCACGUGACGAAUCCUCCUUCAAUAUUGGCUUCUCUCUUCACACUCCCAUCUCCACCCAAUGUUUUAUCUUUCUAACCCCCACCUCUCAAUUAAUAUAUUUAUAUAGUCUCAUCUUCACCCAAUACUUCAUCUUCCUAACCUCCACCUCUCAAUUAAUGUGUUUACAUGAUCCCAUCUUCACCCAAUGCUUUAUCUUCCUUACCCUUAUCUCUCAAUUAAUGUGCUUACAUGAUUUCAUCUCAAUUCAAUGUUUCAUUUUCCUAACUUCCACCUCUCAAUUAAUGUGUUUAUAUGGUCCGUCAUCUAAAUGAAUUGCUUUCACAAGAACAAAUGAGUAAAAUAAAGUUUUUUCAUACUUUUGUUUUCAUAUUAUUUUCCUUUUUUUUUCUUGGAGCACAAAAAGGGCUCAUGUUUUGUAACUUUUUUAAAUUUUUUUUCUUUUUUUAAUUGUGUGUGGAUUGAAAUUCCGAGUAUCACGACGGGAGCGCAGUAGAAGGAAACGGUGAUGGAUUUGAAGUCAGUGAGGGAAAGAAGCAGUGGAUGUGGAAGAAUUUAUACGGGAUUGACAUGGUUGUGACUAAGAAGAAACUCAACACUAGCGGCGAAGGUGAUGUAAAAAUCGGAAUUUACCUCUCUGAUGUCGAUUGUGUGAUGAAGGUGUGCAUAGGGUAGAAAUUUUUUUAUUGCUUCUUCCAUUAUUAUUAUGUGUGAUUUAUUUACCGAAAUUAUAAAUUUUGCUAUAUCUAUACCUAUAUCUGUUUUAUAUCUUAUAUUUGUAUUUAUUGAAGUCUCGUGUCAAAUAAAAAAAUUUGAAAUUUUUAUUUUGUUUAUAUUUUAUCUUCUAUAGUAUCAUUCUGUCGCAAUGCGCGGGUAUCUGUACUAGUAAUCGAAUAAAUCCAACUAAUUGAACCUUUUCUUUUUUGUUAUGUCUUCUUU